AGCAGCCGCGGUAAUUCCAGCUCCAAUAGCGUAUAUUAAAGUUGCUGCAGUUAAAAAGCUCGUAGUUGAAUUUCGGGACCAGUAUGUCGGUCGUGCUUCGGUACGUACUUGCAUUAUUGGUUUCUCCCUUCUGACAAACCAUGAUGUCAUUAAUUUGAUGUCAUAGGAAAUCAGGACUGUUACUUUGAAAAAAUUAGAGUGUUUAAAGCAGGCUAACGCUUGAAUACAUUAGCAUGGAAUAAUGAAAUAGGACGUCGAUCCUAUUUUGUUGGUUUCUAGGAUUAACGUAAUGAUUAAUAGGGAUAGUUGGGGGCAUUAGUAUUCAAUUGUCAGAGGUGAAAUUCUUGGAUUUAUUGAAGACUAACUACUGCGAAAGCAUUUGCCAAGGAUGUUUUCAUUAAUCAAGAACGAAAGUUAGGGGAUCGAAGAUGAUCAGAUACCGUCGUAGUCUUAACCAUAAACUAUGCCGACUAGGGAUCGGAUGAUGUUAAUUUUUUUAAUGUA
rnacentral:rRNA from 1 species